rnacentral:lncRNA from 1 species
AUGGGAGGCCCCUCGAAACAGGGCACGUCACUUGCCCCGGGUCACCUGCGGGCGGCGAGACUCUCGGGUUGACUCCAAGGCCUGACAUUCCCCUCCGGUUUUCACGGAGGAGGGUGAGGAUGUUGCCAGGAGCUGCCGUAAGGCUGGAGGAGCUUGCGGUUGGGUCCACCCGCCUCUGGGCAGGCCUUAGCGUUCACCCGCGGUUUCUCCCUGACUUUGAACCCAAACUCCCUACCCCGCAAGUCCUUCCCUGUUUGAUUGCUGAACUCCAAGUGACAGAAGAACUGAACUGCAAGUGACAGAAGAACUAAGUGUUGGCGAAAGCUGAUGCUCCAGAGGGUGCAGAGUAGAGGUCAGGGGUGGGGGCCUCGCCAUGGGGUAUGUAUAAUGUAGCCCAGGGUCCUGGCACCGAGUCUCUUCAGGAAUGCAAGGGAUUUGGAUUAGAUGGUGUCUUAGAGAUCUAAAUUAUCCCCCUUUGCAAUUGCAUACCUAAAGAAACCGCUAGGGCUGGCAUGAGCCUGGAAAAACACAGGCAGGGUUAAUGGCCCUGUCCUUUAGUCAGUGGCCCCACACUUCUUCCAGUGACUCAGAAGGGGCCCCUGGAGUCAUGCAAAUGGAACAUAUCCAUCAUGCGCCAAAACGUGCUUGUGUCUCCUUGUAAUCCCUUCCUCUCCACAACCAUUGUCACUUUAGAUUGGUUUCUG